UACAGAGGGUGCAAGCGUUAAUCGGAAUUACUGGGCGUAAAGCGUGCGUAGACGGUUAUGUAAGUCAGGUGUGAAAGCCCCGGGCUCAACCUGGGAAUUGCAUUUGAGACUGCAUAGCUAGGGUGCGGAAGAGGGAAGCGGAAUUUCCGGUGUAGCGGUGAAAUGCGUAGAUAUCGGAAGGAACAUCAGUGGCGAAAGCGGCUUCCUGGUCCAGCACCGACGUUCAGGCACGAGAGCGUGGGGAGCAAACAGG
rnacentral:rRNA from 1 species